rnacentral:rRNA from 1 species
GCUAAUACCGCAUACGGUCCUACGGGAGGAAAGCGGGGGGAUCUUCGGACCUCGCGCCAUUAGAUGAGCCUAGGUCGGAUUAGCUAGUUGGUGAGGUAAUGGCUCACCAAGGCGACGAUCCGUAACUGGUCUGAGAGGAUGAUCAGUCACACUGGAACUGAGACACGGUCCAGACUCCUACGGGAGGCAGCAGUGGGGAAUAUUGGACAAUGGGCGAAAGCCUGAUCCAGCCAUGCCGCGUGUGUGAAGAAGGUCUUCGGAUUGUAAAGCACUUUAAGUUGGGAGGAAGGGUAGUAACCUAAUACGUUGCUACUUUGACGUUACCGACAGAAUAAGCACCGGCUAACUUCGUG